rnacentral:rRNA from 1 species
UACGGGAGGGGUUAGCGUUGUUCGGAAUUACUGGGACGUAAAGCGCACGUAGGCGGAUCAGGAAAGGUUGGGGGUGAAAGUCCCGGGGCUCCAACCCCGGAACUGCCUCCAAAACUUCUGGUCUGGAGUUCGAGAGAGGUGAGUGGAAUUCCGAGUGUAGAGGUGAAAUUCGUAGAUAUUCGGAGGAACACCAGUGGCGAAGGCGGCUCACUGGCUCGAUACUGACGCUGAGGUGCGAAAGUGUGGGGAGCAAACAGG